UUUACUUCAUCUCUUAGGUGGAUAUGCAUAUUUAUAUCUUUAUGACUUAAGGAAGAGUAUCAAUCAAAAAGAAAGUUAGGAAAGGAGCUUCUAAGUAGUCUUGAGAGCACCUCUCUGGCAUGUGGAGGUCUGGACCCUUCUCCCCACUCUAACCUCAUGCUCAAAGGAUGCAGCAUCAAAUACCAGACAUCAGGUAGCAAACAUAACCCACUAUUUAAGGUGAAAACGUCGCUACAGAAGAAAAGAUGAAGGGUAAUAAAAGAGAUGAGUCAACUAUACAUACAGGAGUGUGAAUCUGGACCUAUUAUUGUCAAGCACCCAAGAAAACACUUGUCACUAAGAACUCUU